rnacentral:rRNA from 1 species
UACGUAGGGGCCUAGCGUUGUCCGGAAUUAUUGGGCGUAAAGAGCUCGUAGGCGGUUCGGCAAGUCGGAUGUGAAAUCUCCACGCUCAACGUGGAGGGGCCAUUCGAAACUGCCGUGACUCGAGUCCGGUAGGGGAGUGUGGAAUUCCCGGUGUAGCGGUGAAAUGCGCAGAUAUCGGGAGGAACACCAGUAGCGAAGGCGGCGCUCUGGGCCGGUAUUGACGCUGAGGCGCGAAAGCCAGGGGAGCAAACGGG